UCGCGGCUUAUCACCGGCAGUCCCCUUAGAGUGCCCAACUGAAUGUAGCAACUAAUGGCAAGGGUUGCGCUCGUUGCGGGACUUAACCCAACAUCUCACGACACGAGCUGACGACAGCCGUGCAGCACCUGUCUCCGGUCCAGCCGAACUGAAGAACUCCAUCUCUGGAGUCCGCGACCGGGAUGUCAAGGGCUGGUAAGGUUCUGCGCGUUGCGUCGAAUUAAACCACAUGCUCCACCGCUUGUGCGGGCCCCCGUCAAUUCCUUUGAGUUUUAAUCUUGCGACCGUACUCCCCAGGCGGGAUGCUUAAUGCGUUAGCUGCGCCACUGAAGGGUAAACCCCCCAACGGCUAGCAUCCAUCGUUUACGGCGUGGACUAC
rnacentral:misc_RNA from 1 species